rnacentral:rRNA from 2 species
UACGGAGGGAGCUAGCGUUGUUCGGAAUUACUGGGCGUAAAGCGCGCGUAGGCGGUUUUUUAAGUCAGAGGUGAAAGCCCGGGGCUCAACCCCGGAAUAGCCUUUGAAACUGGAAAACUUGAAUCUUGGAGAGGUCAGUGGAAUUCCGAGUGUAGAGGUGAAAUUCGUAGAUAUUCGGAAGAACACCAGUGGCGAAGGCGACUGACUGGACAAGUAUUGACGCUGAGGUGCGAAAGCGUGGGGAGCAAACAGG